rnacentral:rRNA from 1 species
AGUGAACGCUGGCUGCGUGCCUAAUACAUGCAAGUCGAACGGAGUGGCGCACGGGUGAGUAAUGCCUAGGAAUCUGCCUGGUAGUGGGGGAUAACGUCCGGCAACGGGCGCUAAUACCGCCUACUAACAGAUGAGCAUAGGUCGGAUUAGCUCGUUGGUGGGGUAAAGGCCUACCACGGCGACGAUACGUAACUGGUCUGCGAGGAUGAUCAGUCACACUGGAACUACGACACGGUCCAUACUCCUACGUGAGGCAGCAGGGGGGAAUCUUGGACCAUGGGCGAAAGGCUGAUCCAGCCAUGCCGCGUAUGGGAAGAAGGUCUUCGGAUUGUAAAGCACUUGAAGGUGGGUGGCGUUACCAACAGAAUAAGCACCGGCUAACUUCGUGCCAGCAGCCGCGGUAAUAC